UUUAACUUCUCCUAAUGGGAGCCUCCAUACUGGGAGAUGUGUUCGGCCCCGCAGUGUCCCUGGCCUCGGGUGACUCAGGGCUCUGCACAAUGCGGAGAGUCCAUCCCACAGCUUGUCUUUCCUCACCUUCAUCCUCGGUGCCUUGCCAUGCUUCUACAAUACCAAUCAAUAGGAAUCACAGAGCUGUGAGGAACGUGUCAUGAUCCAUACUCUGCAGUUCCUCCUUUGGAGCUUGGAUGAUGCCUUGCUUCUCCCUCUCUCCCAGGAUUCAGCAACACCUAACCCGCACACCAUCCUUCAAGCAAAACUCAUUACUGCCUGCAUUUAAAGCCUGUCAAACCUAUCAGCAGCCUUCACCUGAGUAUUGACACUUGUUGGUGAAUCACCAGCCAACUCUCGUACUUCCAGGUUUUGGGGUAUCCAAGCAGCUACCCGACGACCCGCAUCUGUUACUCACCUGAUUGUGUUCCUCUCCAUCAUGUUCCUUCUGUGCCUUUCCCGUCUUUCCCGCUUCUUGCUCGCUCCUUGUCCCGACGGUCCAUCUCGCCUUGCCUAUUCUUACACUGAACCAACCCGCAAUAAACCAUUCGAAAUUAUA